CACCAGCCACAUCUUCCCUUUCUGCUCUCCGCAGAGACUGUUCCCUCUGCAACUCCCCGGUCAACUAAAUACAUGGUUAGAAAAUGAUCUCGUGAGCAGAUGGUGGUCAAUAGGUCAGUUGUCUUUUUUAAUAGUUUUCUGUAUUUUCAUAAAUGAUCAUUUUAUUCCAUUUUAUCGGCAGUUGCUGUUUUUAUAAUUGCUUCACAAACUAAUCUCCAUAUGCUUGUAUUCCUGCAGUCUUUUGUUCGGUCACUGGGAGUCAGUAUAUUACAACAUUUGAUGGGACUCGAUAUUACUUCUUCGGCGGAUGUGUCCAUAUCUUAGUGAAAACGAAUGCUUUUGUUAUCUACAUUGGCACAAACACAUGCCAAAUGGUAAGAUGAGUGAGCGUGAAAGUAAUUCUGUCGGAUAUGAACUAAGGUAGAGGCUACUGCAUGGAUCUCUCUUUCACAGGUUUACAUUCCUUGUUUUAUGCAGAAAGAGGAGACAAAAUGCAAAUCAACCCUUUGUGUCCAGAUAAUUGCAUUUAUGGAACAUAAGUAGCUCAUACGGUCAUAAGUGAUAAAAGCAGAAUUAGGCCAUUCGGCCCAUCAAGUCUACUCCGCCAUUCAAUCAUGGCUGAUCUAGCUCUCCCUCCUAACCCAUUCUCCUGCCUUCUCCUCAUAACCCCUGACACCCAUACUAAUUAAGAAUCUAUCUAUCUCUGCCUUAAAUAUAUUUAUUGACUCCACAGCCUUCUGGGACAGAAUUCCACAGAUUCACCACCCUCUGACUAAAAUUGAACCUCAUCUCCUUCCUAUAGGAGCAUCCUUUGAAUUCUGAGGCUACGACCUCUAGUCCUAGCCUCUCCCACUAGUGGAAACAUCCUCUUCAUAUCCACUCUAUCCAAGUCUUUCACUAUUCUGUACGUUUCAUUGAGGUUCCCCCUCAUUCUUCUAAAUUCAGCGAGUACAGGCCCAGUGCCAUCAAAUGCUCAUCAUAUGUUAACCCACUCAUUCCUGGGAUCAUUCUUGUAAACCUCCUCUGGACCCUAUCCAGAGCCAGACAUCCUUCCUCAGAUAUGCAUCCCAAAAUAGCUCUUGUCCAUUCACUGGUUCAAGGACUAGAGGUCAGAAGGGGGAAGUUUGAAAGUUGUGCUGGGCAAGUAUUUUUACAUGGAGGUGGUGGGUACCUGGAAUGCGCUGCCAGGGGUGGUGAUGGAGGCAGAUACGAUAGUGGCAUUUAAGAGGCUUUUAGAUAUGGAUCAUGUGCAGGCAGAGGGAAUAAUUUCCACUUGACACCAUGUUCAAUACCAACAUUUCCAUUCAUCCCCUGAUUCCUCCCUUCCCCAGGAAUGUUUUCAGUUGUGCUUCAACCCUGUUCGUUGUCUCCAUUUGCCUCAUUGAGUUAUUCUGAUCACUUUAUGCACCUGUACGCCACCUUUGUGGGUCAAGAAUAUCUUUCAUUAUGAAACAAGAAUAUCUUUCAUUCAUUUGUUCUGUAUCUCUCUACAUCACCGCCUAUAUCUGUUUCCAUUUCCCCUGAGUCUCAGUCUGAAGAAGAGUCUCGACCCAAAACGUCGCCCAUUCCUUCUCUCCAGAGAUUCUGCCUGAACCGUUGAGUUACUCCAGCUUUUUGUGUCUGCCGUUCUGUAGAGUUGGAACAUGGAUUGCAUCUUGCCUCAGUAUUUAACUUCCUACGAUUACUGAAUUGCAACACAUUACAUCUGCCUGACUUUCUUCAUUACUACAAUUUGUUAAAUUUUCAACGUGUUCUGUGAGUUAAGAACGUUCACUACAUCAAACGAUUUGACGAUCAGCUUUUGCCAAUUGAUUAAUGAUUUCCAUUGAUUCAAUUCAAUUAUUUUGAACACUCUGUUCUCAAAGAAGUUUUAUUACACUGAGAGGCUCCAAGUCGUGGCUGGGAACCUUUCCACUGCUCAGUCUGCCUCGACCUACCUGAUCUCCUAGUUUCCAAACACUUCAAUUCUUCUUAAAUGUUUGAAAGAUUGAAGAAUAGGUCUCGACCCAAAAAGUCAUCUACCACGUUCUCCAGAGCUGCUGCCUGACCCGCUGACUUACUUCAGCAAUUUUUGUCUGAGACAGUGUUUAGUCAGUAUAAAGUGUUUUACAGUUAAGGCCCUGUCCCACUGUACAAGGUAAUUCAAGAGUUUUCCCGAGUUUUCCCCUGAUUCGAACUCUGGGAAUGUACGUAGCGGGUACGUAGGAGCUCGUGGAUGUCUCGUAGUGGCUCAUAAUGCUAACGGCAGGUGCUCGGGAAAUGCGGUAACUCGUGAAGUUUUUUCAACACUGUGAAAAAUGUCCAAGAGUAAAAAAAUACUUGUGAUGAACUUACCACGAGUUUGAUUUUUUUUUUUAAACUCGGGAGAGCUCUUGAGUAAACUCGCAUAGUGGGACAGGGGCUUGUGUUUAGCUUCUAAAGAACUGUAGAGUGUACGAGACAAAAUCUUUCAAGUUUGAACCUCUCCAAGAUUAAUUGAUAGUGGAAGUUGAACAGGAAAAAUCAUAGGGUGGGUUGUUUGGAGGUACUGAAACCACCACUCAAAGUCGGGAAAGCUUGAAAAGGGAUAUUCAAUUGUGUUGAUCAACGGGGUGGUGUGGUGGUGCAACGGGAGAGUUGCUACCUCACAGCACCAGAGACUCGGGUGCUGUGAGGCUACGGGUGCUGUCCGUGCAGAGUUUGUAUCCCGUGAUCUGCGUGGGUUUUCUCUGAGAUCUUCGGUUUCCUUCCACACUCCAAAGAUGUACAGGUUUCUAGGUUUAAUUGGCUUGGUAAAUGUAAAAAUUGUCCCUAGUUAAUAUGCGGGGAUUGCUGGUCGGCGCGGAGCCAGUGGGCCGAAGGGCCUGUUUCCGCGCUGUUUCUCGAAACUAAACCAAACUAAAUUCUUCCUGUGACUGACGUGGGUUUUCCCCAAGAUCUUCGGUUUCCUCCCACACUCCAAAGACGUACAGGUUUGUAGUUUAAUUGGUUCAGUAUAAUUCUCCCAGUGUGCGUAGGGUAGUGUUGAUAUGCGGGGAUCGCUGGUCGGUGCGAACUCGGUGGGCCAAAGUGCCUGUUUCUGUGCUGUGUCUCUAAACUAAACUAAACUAAACUGUACAAACCAGUUGUUCAAUUUAGUUUUAUUGUUUAGUUUAUCAUCACGUGUGUAAAGGUACAGUGAAAAGCUUUUGUUGCGUGUUAUCCAGUCAGCAGAAAGACAAUACAUGAUUACAAUCGACCUAUUACCAGCGUACAGAUACAUGAUAAGGGAAUACCCUUUCGUGCAAGGUAAAAAAGAUCAAAGUUGCUGCUCUUAAAUAGAAUGACACAAUUCGAUUAUUUUGUUUUCCUCAGGAUGAUAGUGGUAUCUGUAUUGAAUACAUCAUCCUGACAAUCAAGGGGUUUGGAAUGUCAAUUAAGCUAACUAAAACUGGCCGUGUGUAUCUUGGACAGAGAGAAAUUGGGCUUCCCUACGUCUAUGAGACAGUCCCGAUCCUGACUAUUCGCCGAGCCACAUCAAUGUUCAUCGAGAUUCUGAGUGGAACUGGUGUCCAUAUCCAGUACGAUUUCAAGGGAGGGAGAGUCUACGUAAUCAUCCAACCAUCUUUCAUUGGAGAAACUUUGGGCCUUUGUGGAACUUUUAACCGGAAUCACCCGAGUGAUUUCAUGUCGUCAAGUUACUUAAUUGAUUUUGUCCCAAAGGCCUUUGUAAACUCCUGGAAAGCAAGCCCGCAAUGUGUUGACAUACCUACGUUACCUGUCUUUGAGCCUUGUAAGGGCAGCCUCGAGAAAGGUAACCGAUUCUCCAUUCCAACCGUACAACAGGGAAACAAGUCCUUCGUCCCAACUUGCCCAUACCAACCAAGAUACCCCACUCAAACUAGUCUCAUUUGCCUGCGUUUGGCCCGGAUCCUCCCUGAACCAUUCUUUUCCAUGUACCUGUCCAAAUACAUGUUAAAUAUUGUUAUUUUACCUGCCUCAACUACGUCCCCUGGCAACUCAUUCCAUACACUCACAGCCCUCUGUGUGAAAAGGUUGCCCCUCAGCUUCCUAUUAAAUCUUGCCCCUCUAGUCCUAGUCAUAGAUUCAUACAGCGUGGAAACAGGCCCUUUUACCUAACGUGCACAUGUCCCAGCUCCACAUCCCAGCAUGUCCCAGCUACACUAGUCCCACCUGUCUGCAUUUUUCCCAUAUCCCUCAAAACCUGUCCUAUCCAUGUACCUGUCUAACUGUUUCUUAAACGUUGCGAUAGUCCCAGCCUCAACUACCUCCUCUGGCAGCUCGCUUGAUUCACCCACAACAGUUUGUGUGAAAAAACAAAGUUUAAACGAGAACUUACCGUUUGAGGUUUGAUCUUUAUUUUAUGAGAAGUUGAAGUGAGGGAAUAUACGUGAAGAGCCCGCCAGCCCGCAUGCGUGCCAAUCUUCAGAGCAACUGUAUGAAACCACAGACUAGUUGAAGAACUUAAACUAUAGAAAGACUAACGAGACUAGAGUUAACGGGUGAUCUUUUAUGAGAAUCAGGGUUGGGAGUGGAGGGCACGUAUUCCCUCACUUCAACUUCUCAUAAAAUAAAGAUCAAACCUCAAACGGUAAGUUCUUGUUAAAUUUUUCUAUUUUAGUUUGAAGUCACGUGAGUGACUACGUGAAGCUUUCAAAGCAAUGUGGUUUCAUGCAGUAACCCAAUCUGUGUGUGAAACACUUAAACAGAUAAAACCAUAAAUGGUAAAAAGACAUGGGUUAUUAACAACAUGAUGCUAAAUUGCAUACAUGGCCAUUGCUCUUAAUCGGACCAUAGUCCCAAUUGGCUUUUGAGUUAGACAAUAACUCAUGCCACACUAUACAGAAUUCUUUCUGCAAUCAUUCAGACAUAUUCAACCAAAAUGUUAUAACUUCUGAAAGUGCACUAUGUAAACCUCCUGCUGUUGCAAGAAGAUGGACAAAUGGGAAUAUCCAUUCUAUUGGCUGCUAAUGAGCCACCAACAAUCUCUUGAAACUAUUAAUUAACAAUGAAGAAAGUAUCCUUCAUUGCAUAGAUACCCGCAAACUCUGUGUACCUGUAUACAUAAUAACACCCCCAAUCUCCAAUCUGGUAGAUAUGCAACUCCAACUUGUACCCAACCAUGCCCGUUUAGCUUUAUGAGAUCAUUCUCAUAACAAGCUACCCUCAUGUCAGAUAUGACCCAGAGAUGGAGCCAGAGAUUGAGUAAAGCGUAUGUUCUUUGUGCUGAAUCAGCUGCUUCAACUUAAAAGAUUCUGCUCUCAUGAGGAAACCAGUAGAUAAAUAUCUGCAUAAUAACUUACUGAUAAACAUUCCACACCACUAUGAGUUGCUUGCUUGAUGUUGAUCAACAAUGGGAGAAUAACCAAUGAUUAACUGUUCCACUUAUGGCACUAUAGAGAUCUUCCUCCAGUGAAUCUCCUAUCCCCAAAGGGAUGGCAAAUAUGUGACAAGAGCUGGUAGCUCCCACAUAUCAUCGAUAAAUCAUUGGAUUCAGAUAUCCUCUUAAUAUUCCCAUAAUCGGAGUCACCUCUGUAAUAUUCAACAAUACACCCCUCAUCAGAGUGAGAGGAAUACUGCAACCCUGAGCCAGGUGCUGCCACAGGCAUAUGGAUGGAGCCGCCUGUUAAUGCCUCCAGUGCACAGAGAAUAUUUUGUUCACACGAUUAAAAUGAAGAAUAUCCCGCAUUAGUUCAAGGAUUUGAUUGCUUUAUCGAUAUCCACAUAGUUGGAGUCACUUAUUAUAACCAUAUAACAAUUACAGCACGGAAACAGGCCAUCUCGGCCCUACAAGUCCGUGCCGAACAAUUAUUUUCCCUUAGUCUCACCUGCCUGCACUCAUACCAUAACCCUCCAUUCCGUUCUCAUCCAUAUGCCUAUCCAAUUUAUUUUUAAAUUAUGCCAACGAACCUGCCUCCACCACUUCCACUGGAAGCUCAUUCCACACCGCUACCACUCUCUGAGUAAAGAAGUUCCCCCUCAUGUUACCCAUAAACCUCUGUCCCUUAAUUCUGAAGUCAUGUCCUCUUGUUUGAAUCUUCCCUAUUCUCAAAGAGAAAAGCUUGUCCACAUCAACUCUGUCUAUCCCUCUCAUCAUUUUAAAGACCUCUAUCUAGUCCCCCCCUUAGAAACAUAGAAACAUAGAAAUUAGGUGCAGGAGUAGGCCAUUCGGCCCUUCGAGCCUGCACCGCCCUUCAAUAUGAUCAUGGCUGAUCAUCCAACUCAGUAUCCCUUAACCUUCUGCGCUCCAGAGAAUAAAGACCUAACUUAUUCAACCUUUCUCUGUAACUUAGUUGUUGAAACCCAGGCAACAUUCUAGUAAAUCUCCUCUGUACUCUCUCUAUUUUGUUGACAUCCUUCCUAUAAUUGGGUGACCAAAAUUGUACACCAUACUCCAGAUUUGGUCUCACCAAUGCCUUGUACAAUUUUAACAUUACAUCCCAGCUUCUAUACUCAAUGCUCUGAUUUAUAAAGGCUAGCAUACCAAAAGCUUUCUUUACCACCCUAUCUAUAUGAGAUUCCACCUUCAAGGAACUAUGCACGGUUAUUCCCAGAUCCCUCUGUUCAGCUGCAUUCUUCAAUUCCCUACCAUUUACCAUGUACGUCCUAUUUUGAUUUGUCCUGCCAAGGUGUAGCACCUCACAUUUAUCAGCAUUAAACUCCAUCUGCCAUCUUUCAGCCCAUUCUUCCAAAUGGCCUAAAUCACUCUGUAGACUUUGGAAAUCCUCUUCAUUAUCCACAACACCCCCAAUCUUGGUAUCAUCUGCAUACUUACUAAUCCAAUUUACCACACCUUCAUCCAGAUCAUUGAUGUACAUGACAAACAACAAAGGACCCAAAACAGAUCCCUGAGGCACCCCACUCCACCUGCCUCCAACCCGACAAAAACAGCCACCCACCAUUACCCUCUGGCGUCUCCCAUUCAGCCACUGUUGAAUCCAUCUUGCUACUCCUGCAUUUAUACCCAACAGUUGAACCUUCUUAACCAACCUUCCAUGAGGAACCUUGUCAAAGGCCUUACUAAAGUCCAUAUAGACAACAUCCACUGCUUUACCCUCGUCAAUUUCCCUAGU